AUUGACUUGCACGGCUUCAGCCUGUUAAGACUAGCCGACAGAAGGCGCUGAAACGUUUGAAAAUGCAGCACCUCGGGAGUGUCCAGCAGUUGUGUCUUCCUCUCAGUCAUUUUGUUGAGAAUCUCAGCUAUGGAUGAAUAUCUGUGUGCCUGCCUGCCUUUGUUUUGGGAGCUCAAGGGCUAGUGGAGAGGAGCGAUGGUAAGUCUCAAGGGCGCUGAGGGACCGGGACAUCUUGGUGCGAGGAAGAGCGUCUGGUGUUGUUGACCGAGUGAUCUGCUGUCCCACUAGACAUCUGCAAUCAUGGAUGAGUGAGAGUCAUUGCUGUAAAUGUGAUCUGGAGGUGAUUUGGCACAGCUUAAAGAAGACACUUGAUCAUGGUUGGGAGGUAAGAGCAGGUGAGAGGAGCUCCUACUGGACAGAAG